GGCUCCAUAGUGUAGUGGUUAGCAUGUCUGCUUUACACGCAGACGGUCCUGGUUUCGUGCCCCAGGUGGAGCCA
rfam:Pteropus alecto contig97723, whole genome shotgun sequence.